UCUCGGGCAAGGCUGACUGGGUGCUAUGGGAUCGUUCGGCGUACAAUGCAUGCAUUUUGCGUCGUGUCUUUUUCAUACUCGCUCAACUCGGCUCUUCCACACUUAGGAUGUUGACUUAAUGGUUUUAAACGA
rnacentral:rRNA from 1 species